rnacentral:rRNA from 1 species
ACGAACGCUGGCGGCGUGCUUAACACCUGCAAGUCGAACGGAAAGGCCUGCUUUCCCUUGUGGAUUGCGGGUACUCGAGUGGCGAACGGGUGAGCAACACGUGAGUGAUCUGCCCCCAACUUGGGUAUAAGCCUGGGAAACUGGGUCUAAUUCCCGAUAGGACUGCAGGGUGGUGCCUGUGGUGGAAAACGAUUUUCUAGUGGUUGGGGAUGAGCUCGCGGCCUAUCAGCUUGUUGGUGGGGUAAUGGCCUACCAAGGCGGCGACGGGUAGCCGGCCUGAGAGGGUGGACGGCCACAUUGGGACUGAGAUACGGCCCAGACUACUACGGGAGGCAGCAGUGGGGAAUAUUGCACAAUGAGCGGAAGCCUGAUGCAGCGACGCCGCGUGGGGGAUGACGGCCUUCGGGUUGUAAACUCCUUUCGACCGCGAGGAAGCCACCUGGUUGGAAGGGUGGUGACGGUAGUGGUAGAAGAAGCACCGGCUAACUACGUG